GUGCCAGCCGCCGCGGUAAUACGAAGGGGGCUAGCGUUGCUCGGAAUCACUGGGCGUAAAGGGUGCGUAGGCGGGUUUCUAAGUCAGAGGUGAAAGCCUGGAGCUCAACUCCAGAACUGCCUUUGAUACUGGAAGUCUUGAGUAUGGCAGAGGUGAGUGGAACUGCGAGUGUAGAGGUGAAAUUCGUAGAUAUUCGCAAGAACACCAGUGGCGAAGGCGGCUCACUGGGCCAUUACUGACGCUGAGGCACGAAAGCGUGGGGAGCAAACAGGAUUAGAAACCCGGGUAGUCCA
rnacentral:rRNA from 1 species